UCUCUACAAAUUCUGCACCAGCUAAACCACGAAAAACUACGAGCGACGCAUGUGACUGCAAUUACGAUGCUGGCAGUUCCUCAUAAAAAUGGAGGACGCUUGCAAGAUACUAUGAAUCGUGCGGAAUAAGGGCCAGCGCGACUGAAGUGAGAAACGCUGCAAAUACAUGAAUACUGGGGGCCUGGCAAAAAUCAGCAAAGCUGCUACACAGUUCCCACAGAAUUCCCAGUUCACUCACAAUUGGCUUUGGGAUGGACAGGAUUGCUGACAGUUGAUGCCAAAAAAUCGGUUCAGUGCAGUCUACAGAAUGCAAAAAAGAACGCCGCCGAAGCCCAUGGGGCACCAAGAACUGAUGUGGGAAGAAAAAGACACCACGACAGCGAAGACUUCUCCGAGUCAGACGUUUCGGACUCUGAAUGUAUUGUGUCAGCUGCUGAAGUAAAGAAGGCUAAUGAACAGGCCA